GACGAACGCUGGCGGCGUGCUUAGCACAUGCAAGUCGAACGCUGAAGCUCAGCUUUUGUUGGGUGGAUGAGUGGCGAACGGGUGAGUAACACGUGAGUAACCUGCCCCCUUCUUUGGGAUAACGCCCGGAAACGGGUGCUAAUACUGGAUAUUCACUGGUCUUCGCAUGGGGGUUGGUGGAAAGGGUUUUUCUGGUGGGGGAUGGGCUCGCGGCCUAUCAGCUUGUUGGUGGGGUGAUGGCCUACCAAGGCUUUGACGGGUAGCCGGCCUGAGAGGGUGACCGGGCACAUUGGGACUGAGAUACGGCCCAGACUCCUACGGGAGGCGGCAGUGGGGAAUAUUGCGCAAUGGGCGCAAGCCUGAUGCAGCGACGCCGCGUGAGGGAUGGAGGCCUUCGGGUUGUGAACCUCUUUCGCUCAUGGUCAAGCCGCAACAAUGGUUGUGGUGAGGGUAGUGGGUAAAGAAGCGCCGGCUAACUACGUG
rnacentral:rRNA from 1 species